rnacentral:rRNA from 1 species
UGCCGAAGCUGUGGGAUUUUAUAUCGGUAGGGGAGCGUUCUACUAUAGAUUGAAGCAUUAAUGAAAAUGGGUGUGGACAAAGUAGAAGUGAGAAUGUCGGCUUGAGUAGCGAAAACAUUGGUGAGAAUCCAAUGCCCCGAAAACCUAAGGAUUCCUCCGGAAGGCUCGUCCGCGGAGGGUAAGUCAGGACCUAAGGCGAGGCCGAAAGGCGUAGCUAAUGGACAACGGGUUAAUAUUCCCGUACUGUAUAUUGUUGAUAACGAAGGACGGAGAAGGCUAGAUCAGCUGGAUGUUGGUUACCAGUUUAAGCACUUAAGGUGUUGAUAAGCGGCGAAAACGCUUUGAGCUAAGGUGUUAUGACGAAGUACUAAGGUACUGAAGUGAUUGAUGUCAUACUUCCAAGAAAAGCUCGGAAUAUCUUAAACAAUAUAUACCUGUACCACAAACCGACACAGGUGGGUAAGUAGAAUAUACUAAGGGGCGCGAGAUAACUCUCUCUAAGGAACUCGGCAAAAUUACCUCGUAACUUUGGAAGAAGAGGUACCCUUGAAAAAGGGUUGCAAUAAAUUGACCCUGGCGACUGUUUACCAAAAACACAGGUCUCCGCAAAUUCGUAAGAAUAAGUAUGGGGGCUGACGCCUGCCCAGUGCCGGAAGGUUAAAGAAGUUGGUCAAUCCUCGGAUGAAGCUAGCAACUGAAGCCCCGGUGAACGGCGGCCGUAACAAUAACGGUCCUAAGGUAGCGAAAUUCCUUGUCGGGUAAGUUCCGACCCGCACGAAAGGCGUAACGAUCAGGGUGCUGUCUCGGAGAGAGACUCGGCGAAAUAGAAUUGUCUGUGAAGAUGCGGACUACCUGCACCUGGACAGAAAGACCCUAUGAAGCUUUACUGUAUCUUGGAAUUGGGUUUGGUCUUUACUUGCGCAGGAUAGGUGGGAGGCAAUGAAAAUGUUCUUGCGGGAAUAUUUGAGCCAACGGUGAGAUACCACUCUAGUAAAGAUAAAAUUCUAACUCUAUACCGUGAUCCGGAUAGAGAACAGUUUCAAGUGGGCAGUUUGACUGGGGCGGUCGCCUCCUAAAAGGUAACGGAGGCGUGCAAAGGUUCCCUCAGGCUGGUUGGACAUCAGUCGAAGAGUGUAAAGGCAUAAGGGAGCUUGACUGCGAGACCCACAAGUCGAGCAGAGACGAAAGUCGGCCUUAGUGAUCCGACGGUUCCAAGUGGAAGGGCCGUCGCUCAACGGAUAAAAGUUACUCUAGGGAUAACAGGCUGAUCUCCCCCAAGAGUUCACAUCGACGGGGAGGUUUGGCACCUCGAUGUCGGCUCAUCGCAUCCUGGGGCGGUAGUACGUCCCAAGGGUUGGGCUGUUCGCCCAUGAAAGCGGUACGCGAGCUGGGUUCAGAACGUCGUGAGACAGUUCGGUCCAUAUCCGGUGCAGGCGUUAGAGUAUUGAGAGGCGUCCCCCUUAGUACGAGAGGACCGGGGGGAAUACACCGCUGGUGUACCAGUUAUCGUGCCAACGGUAAACGCUGGGUAGCCAAGUGUAGAUGGGAUAACUGCUGAAAGCAUCUAAGUAGGAAGCCCUCCUCAAGAUGAGUACUCUCACCGCUUAAAGCGGGUAAGAUCACGACAAGAACAGUCGUUUGAUAGGCGUUCGGUGUAAGUGCAGCAAUGUAUUUAGCCAAGACGUACUAAUAGAUCGAGGGCUU